UACGGAGGAUCCAAGCGUUAUCCGGAAUCAUUGGGUUUAAAGGGUGCGUAGGCGGGUAAUUAAGUCAGUGGUGAAAGCCCACAGCUCAACCGUGGAACCGCCAUUGAUACUGGUUAUCUUGAGUGUAGUUGAGGCAGGCGGAAUUUACGAUGUAGCGGUGAAAUGCAUAGAUAUCGUAAAGAACACCUAUAGCGAGGGCAGCUUGCUAAACUAUAACUGACGCUGAGGCACGAAAGCAUGGGUAGCGAACAGG
rnacentral:misc_RNA from 1 species